GAGAAAUGAGGAUAACUAACAUGUUCUGAAACUGUGUGAUUGCUAAAGAUCCAACUCUGAUCUCACUCUGUGA